rnacentral:misc_RNA from 1 species
CGUAUGUAUCUUAUUAUAAAAUAAUUCCAGACAAAAAUACUUGGAACAAUGGAGACAUCUCAGACCAAACAUUCCGAUCCGUCCGACAUACAGGAGAAGGAGACCAGUAUGGAGAAUAACCUGGAGAAGGACAUUUUUAAGACGAAGGAUAUCGUGGAGCAGGGGGACGACGGCAAGGACGACACGGAUAGCCUGAGCAGUACAGAGUCUGGGGAACUGGUGAAGAGAUUGAAACGGAAACGAGUUGAGGAGGACGACGAGGAAUCCGAAGCCAAGAGAAGAAGUGAAGAACCUCUUGUUAAACUAUUUAUCGUGGACGAGACUAACAAUGAGAAGGAAGAAAAGGAAGAUUUUGACGACGAUAAUGAAACUGACAAAGAUCUUAAACAAGACAAAGAGGAAGAAAAAGAUGCUGAAGAAGAAGUUUAUGAAGUGGAAUCAGUAGUGGAUUACGAUUACUGUAAAGAAACGGAGAGAGGACUUUACAAGAUUAAAUGGAUUGGUUGGGCAGAAGAGCAUAAUACCUGGGAACCUAUAGAUAACCUACUACACUGCAGGGAACACCUUGUUAAAUUUUACUACAAGAGAUUACAGGAGAGAGAAAGUGCUUCAGCAGGAAAGAAAAGAAGCCUACCUAUGCCCCCAGAUCCAAGAAUAUCAGAAGAUUUACGAGAUUUAUUCAUCUCUAAGUAUUACACCAAACCAUCUCAGGAGACAUUGGAGGCUUUAUUUCAGGCAAAGAAGAAGGGAAAGGUAACGAAGCUCCUGUCCGAGUCCGUUCUGAGGAAGGAGAUGGAGAACCUGGCGGGGCUCAAGAAGAUUAACAUGAAGAGGUUGGAGGCGGUGAGGGUUCAGUUGAACCUUCGCGAACUACAGACAUACAGGGAUAAUCAACUCAAACAAAUCAAGGACUGGGAGAAUAAGAUAAAUGAUAUUGAGAAGGAUGCUCAUGUAUCUGUAACUAACGAUGUGGAUCUGGACGGACCUCCAACAUUAAUGGAAUAUAUUAAUUGUUAUAAGGCUGGUGAUGGAAUAGAGAUACCUGACGACCCACGUCUUGGCUGUGAAUGUGAAAAUUGUUCUUCUAAAUGUAGCUGCUAUGGAAUGAAUGAAACCGAGAUGGCGUAUAAUCAGAAUGGAAGACUGAGAGUUGAUAUAGGAUAUCCAAUCUACGAAUGCAACAAAAGAUGUAAAUGUCCUUCCAGCUGUAGAAACAGAGUCGUGCAGAACGGACGAAAAGUUAAGCUUGGUAUUUUCAGAACAAGUAAUGGGUGUGGCUGGGGUGUGAGGACCCUGGAGAAUAUCAAGAAAGGCAGCUUUGUUGUCCAGUAUGUUGGCGAGGUUAUAACCUCUGACGAGGCCGAGGAGAGAGGGAAGAAGUAUGAUGCUGACGGGAAAACAUAUCUCUUUGAUCUGGACUUCAAUCUAGGGGAUGAAAAUCCAUUUACGGUCGACGCUGCUUUUUAUGGGAAUCUGAGUCACUUUAUAAACCACAGUUGUGAUCCUAACUUAAAUAUCUUCAACGUUUACAUCAACUGUUUAGAUCCAAACCUACCUCAGCUCUGCUUGUUCGCUAGACGGAAUAUUAAAAAAGGAGAGGAGCUGAAUUUUGACUAUUCUCAGUCCACACAAAGCGCAGACUCCGAGGACUCCCCUGAUUCCCCCUGCAAGACCCCUCACAGAGCCAAAGUUGGAGAAUCGUCGGCCGGACGACUAGGUACUCCUGGUCGAGUGGGUACUCCAGGACAAAAGAAAGAAUCCUCCAACGCUGUAGUUCAAAAAACAGAAUGUCGUUGCAACGCAAAGAAUUGUCGCAAAGUCCUUUUUUAAACCAACAAGUAUUUCUUUUUAUUAAAGCUUCUGUUGGUUUGUCAAAAGUAUAUUGUUUUAAUCGAAACUGAUCCAUUCUUCAAAUCUGGAAGAUAUGGUCGUUCCUCUAGGUUUAAAAGUAUUUACUUUGCAUAGCUCCUACAUGUUUUCUUGCAGUAGAAAUGCCCAAGUCUUUUU